UACGGGGGGGGCAAGCGUUGUUCGGAAUUACUGGGCGUAAAGGGCUCGUAGGCGGCCAACUAAGUCGGACGUGAAAUCCCCAGGCUCAACUUGGGAACUGCGUCCGAUACUGGAUGGCUUGGAUUCGGGAGAGGGAUGCAGAAUUCCAGGUGUAGCGGUGAAAUGCGUAGAUAUCGGGAGGAACACCGGUAGCGAAGGCGGCUCGCUGGGCCGCUCUUGACGCUGAGACGCGAAAGCUAGGGGAGCGAACGGG
rnacentral:rRNA from 1 species